GACGAACGCUGGCGGCGUGCUUAACACAUGCAAGUCGAACGAUGAUGCCCAGCUUGCUGGGUUGAUUAGUGGCGAACGGGUGAGUAACACGUGAGUAACCUGCCCUUGACUUCGGGAUAACUCCGGGAAACCGGGGCUAAUACCGGAUAUGAGCCGCCCUCGCAUGGGGGUGGUUGGAAAGUUUUUCGGUCAGGGAUGGGCUCGCGGCCUAUCAGCUUGUUGGUGGGGUGAUGGCCUACCAAGGCGACGACGGGUAGCCGGCCUGAGAGGGCGACCGGCCACACUGGGACUGAGACACGGCCCAGACUCCUACGGGAGGCAGCAGUGGGGAAUAUUGCACAAUGGGCGAAAGCCUGAUGCAGCGACGCCGCGUGAGGGAUGAAGGCCUUCGGGUUGUAAACCUCUUUCAGCAGGGAAGAAGCGCAAGUGACGGUACCUGCAGAAGAAGCGCCGGCUAACUACGUGCCAGCAGCCGC
rnacentral:rRNA from 1 species